rnacentral:lncRNA from 10 species
AAUCACCAGGUUCCAGUUGACUCUUGUCCAUCCUGACUCUCAGCCUCAAAGUCAUAGCCUUCCUUAGAAUGAUGGCUUUCUGCCAUUAAGAAUAAUCAAAAGAAUGUAAUGUAUGAUUUGAAGAGGCCUCUUAAAAUAACUGGUUUUGUUGCAUUUUAGGUUUACCUCCUCUUUACCUGAGAUGUUUGCCUGUCCUUUUCCUUAGGUACCAAAAACUGUGGAAGAGUUAUGUGAAACUUCGCCACCUCCUAGCAAAUAGUCCCAAAGUCAAACAAACUGACAAACAGAAGCUGGCACAGAGGGAGGAAGCCCUCCAAAAAAUACGGCAGAAGAAUACAAUGAGACGAGAAGUAACGGUGGAGCUAAGUAGCCAAGGAUUCUGGAAAACUGGCAUCCGUUCUGAUGUCUGUCAGCAUGCAAUGAUGCUACCUGUUCUGACCCAUCAUAUCCGCUACCACCAAUGCCUAAUGCAUUUGGACAAGUUGAUAGGAUAUACUUUCCAAGAUCGUUGUCUGUUGCAGCUGGCCAUGACUCAUCCAAGUCAUCAUUUAAAUUUUGGAAUGAAUCCUGAU